ncrna:unclassified sequences engA RNA
GCCCUGAAUAGACUGAGGGCGCACUCUCCGCAAAAGGAGGGCCGAAGAAUGUAUAACUUCAGAAAUUAAACA